ACGAACGCUGGCGGCGUGCUUCACCCAUGCAAGUCGAACGGAAAGGCCCUGCUUUUGUGGGGUGCUCGAGUGGCGAACGGGUGAGUAACACGUGAGUAACCUGCCCUUGACUUUGGGAUAACUUCAGGAAACUGGGGCUAAUACCGGAUAGGAGCUCCUGCUGCAUGGUGGGGGUUGGAAAGUUUCGGCGGUUGGGGAUGGACUCGCGGCUUAUCAGCUUGUUGGUGGGGUAGUGGCUUACCAAGGCUUUGACGGGUAGCCGGCCUGAGAGGGUGACCGGCCACAUUGGGACUGAGAUACGGCCCAGACUCCUACGGGAGGCAGCAGUGGGGAAUAUUGCACAACGGGCGGAAGCCUGAUGCAGCAACGCCGCGUGCGGGAUGACGGCCUUCGGGUUGUAAACCGCUUUCGCCUGUGACGAAGCGUGAGUGACGGUAAUGGGUAAAGAAGCACCGGCUAACUACGUG
rnacentral:rRNA from 1 species